rnacentral:rRNA from 1 species
GUCUAUGGCCAUACCACCCUGAACGUGCCCAAUCUCAUCCAAUCUCAGAAGCUAAGCAGGAUCAGGCCUGGUUAGUACUUGGAUGGGAGAUUGCCUGGGAAUACUGGGUGUUGUAGUCU